rnacentral:rRNA from 1 species
AACGAACGCUGGCGGCAUGCCUAACACAUGCAAGUCGAACGAGACCUUCGGGUCUAGUGGCGCACGGGUGCGUAACGCGUGGGAACCUGCCCUUAGGUUCGGAAUAACUCCCCGAAAGGGGUGCUAAUACCGGAUAAUGUCUUCGGACCAAAGAUUUAUCGCCUUUGGAUGGGCCCGCGUUGGAUUAGCUAGUUGGUAGGGUAAAAGCCUACCAAGGCGACGAUCCAUAGCUGGUCUGAGAGGAUGAUCAGCCACACUGGGACUGAGACACGGCCCAGACUCCUACGGGAGGCAGCAGUGGGGAAUAUUGGACAAUGGGCGAAAGCCUGAUCCAGCACUGCCGCGUGAGUGAUGAAGGCCUUAGGGUUGUAAAGCUCUUUUACCCGGGAUGAUAAUGACAGUACCGGGAGAAUAAGCGCCGGCUAACUCCGUG